GCCUAAUACAUGCAAGUCGAACGCUUCUUUCCUCCCGAGUGCUUGCACUCAAUUGGAAAGAGGAGUGGCGGACGGGUGAGUAACACGUGGGUAACCUACCCAUCAGAGGGGGAUAACACCUGGAAACAGGUGCUAAUACCGCAUAACAGUUUAUGCCGCAUGGCAUAAGAGUGAAAGGCGCUUUCGGGUGUCGCUGAUGGAUGGACCCGCAGUGCAUUAGCUAGUUGGUGAGGUAACGGCUCACCAAGGCCACGAUGCAUAGCCGACCUGAGAGGGUGAUCGGCCACACUGGGACUGAGACACGGCCCAGACUCCUACGGGAGGCAGCAGUAGGGAAUCUUCGGCAAUGGACGAAAGUCUGACCGAGCAACGCCGCGUGAGUGAAGAAGGUUUUCGGAUCGUAAAACUCUGUUGUUAGAGAAGAACAAGGACGUUAGUAACUGAACGUCCCCUGACGGUAUCUAACCAGAAAGCCACGGCUAACUACGUGCCAGCAGCCGCGGUAAUACGUAGGUGGCAAGCGUUGUCCGGAUUUAUUGGGCGUAAAGCGAGCGCAGGCGGUUUCUUAAGUCUGAUGUGAAAGCCCCCGGCUCAACCGGGGAGGGUCAUUGGAAACUGGGAGACUUGAGUGCAGAAGAGGAGAGUGGAAUUCCAUGUGUAGCGGUGAAAUGCGUAGAUAUAUGGAGGAACACCAGUGGCGAAGGCGGCUCUCUGGUCUGUAACUGACGCUGAGGCUCGAAAGCGUGGGGAGCAAACAGG
rnacentral:rRNA from 1 species